AAUAGAUACCCUGGUAGUCCACGCCGUAAACGAUGAGUGCUAAGUGUUGGGGGGUUUCCGCCCCUCAGUGCUGCAGCUAACGCAUUAAGCACUCCGCCUGGGGAGUACGGUCGCAAGACUGAAACUCAAAGGAAUUGACGGGGGCCCGCACAAGCGGUGGAGCAUGUGGUUUAAUUCGAAGCAACGCGAAGAACCUUACCAGGUCUUGACAUCCCGGUGACCACUAUGGAGACAUAGUUUCCCCUUCGGGGGCAACGGUGACAGGUGGUGCAUGGUUGUCGUCAGCUCGUGUCGUGAGAUGUUGGGUUAAGUCCCGCAACGAGCGCAACCCUUAUUCUUAGUUGCCAUCAUUUAGUUGGGCACUCUAAGGAGACUGCCGGUGAUAAACCGGAGGAAGGUGGGGAUGACGUCAAAUCAUCAUGCCCCUUAUGACCUGGGCUACACACGUGCUACAAUGGACGGUACAAACGGUUGCCAACCCGCGAGGGGGAGCUAAUCCGGAUAAAACCGGUUCUCAGUUCGGAUUGUAGGCUGCAACUCGCCUACAUGAACG
rnacentral:rRNA from 1 species